GGGCUGGUGCUCUCGUUCAGAUAGAUUUAGCUGGUGGUGCAGAGAUCCGUGAGCUUGCUUUUACAGGACUUUAAUGAUAUAUAAAAGCAGCACGAGGUGCUCCUGACUGUGGAUUAAUUUGGAGAUGACUUUCUCUGUUGAAGAGUAGCAAGACUCUCGCGAGUUCUUAAAAAUGCACUUGUUUGGUAUGAGAAUGAAAAGCAGUGGCUGAAGAACCAAUCUUCAAUGGGCAAGCCUUCUCUGUGUCUGUUCUAACACGUGCCAUUUGGGAUCCCUUGGAAUCUUCAUGUACAGAACUGGUUGCUGCCUCGUUGAGUCGGUGGGGACAGAAUAGCUCCUGGUUGACAGCAUGGGUUGUGCAGAAGGACGGAUCCUGCAGACAUCAAUAUCUGGCUUUGAGUGGCACAAAGAAAUAAAGGAAUGUGGAUUCAGACCUCACUGGGAUGCUUGGCAAUUCUAAUUCUACCCCAGACUGCAAAUGGACACACAACUGUUGUGACUUUUGUUGAAGAGGAGAAGGAUGGGUGAGCAUGUGACGUUGGGAAAUUGUAUUUUCUUCUUCGAGUUCUUCUGUUUCCGAAUAUUUAAUCCUACUGUUUUCUUCUUUAGUGAAGGUCUCUUUAGUCAAUAAUCUCUUUGCUGAAAUUGCUUCGGGCAGCACAGAAGCUGGAUUCAGAAGCACACAGGUCUGGGGAUGCAGGCUUCGGCCAGCCUGAUGCAAGGAAAGACUGCCAUCUCGUGGUCAGCUCAAUCCUGGCACCUUGGUGAGGGACCAGGCUGCAGAAAACCAGGCUUGGGGAGGAAACGGUGCUGCAAACUGGAUUUCUGCCGGACAGUGUGGAUGCCCUUAGAAAACACCCAGAAAAGAGCUGAGUGCCCCCCAAGACUUGCCCUGAAUUCUUUCAUGUGCAAUAUCCGAAAACCCUCUCUUGGGGCCUGGAUCAGGACCCCUUUCCUAUAACAUCUUUCUGGCGACAACAAAGGGACAAUGGUGUGGAAUCCCCCUUCCCAAAUGCUACUUUUAGGUAAGUAUUGGGGUCCUGUAACAUAUUUCUGGCAAACCAUGGAAUGGACAAUACUGAAGAAACUCGCCAACCCAAAGGAUAUAG
rnacentral:lncRNA from 1 species